rnacentral:rRNA from 1 species
AUGACGAAGACGAUGCCGCGUGACUCUUCAGCGAGUGGAGCGUUGGUGCCGAGCGACUCGGCGGCGAUGGCGGCUGCCGCGACGGCGGCGACGACGGCGGCGGCGGGGAAGCUCCCAUUCCCGCUGCUCACGAGGACGAACUACGCGGCAUGGGCGAUGAGGAUGAAGUACCUCUUGCGCGCCAAUGGCGCGUGGGGUGCCGUUGAUCGCAAGGCCUCAUCGGAGGUCGACAAGGGCAAGGAGGAGAUGGCCAUGACGAUCAUCUCCCAGUCCAUCGAUGACUCGACGCUGCUGCGGGUUGCGGAGAAGGAGACCGCAGCCGAUGUGUGGGCGGCGCUACGCUCCAUGCAUGUGGGCGUCGAGCGCGUCCGAGAGGCGAGGGUUCAAUCCUUGCGCUCGGAAUUUGAUGGCCUCAAGAUGGGUGAUGCGGAGUCCGUGGAUGAUUUCGCGGCGAGGUUCACGACGCUCGUGGGGCGCAUCCGUGAGCUUGGUGAUGCGAUGGAGGAGAAGUACGUCGUGAAGAAGCUGCUCCGAUCCGUUUCCAACAAGUUCAUCCAUGUUGCGUCGUCAAUUGCGUUGUUCGGCGACACCAACAAGAUGGCCAUCACUGGUGGAAAAAGGGCCUUUGGUCGCGGUUCGCAACUGCCAUUAGUCGCGGUUGCGCAACCGCGACCGAACGGGCGCGACUAA